rnacentral:tRNA from 1 species
GGGUCGAUGCCCGAGCGGUUAAAGGGGACGGACUGUAAAUUCGUUGGCGAUAUGUCUACGCUGGUUCAAAUCCAGCUCGGCCCA